rnacentral:misc_RNA from 1 species
AUGGUUUUAGGUCCAUGCCCAUGCUUGUACAUGUAUAUGAAGAUUGUUGAUACCUUAAGGUUCAAAAAACAAUGAAAAAUCACAUUAACAAAUUUUAUCAAAAAUAUUAGGGGAUGAUUAGUGCCUCUGCUAGUGCAAUAGUUUAAUGAAUCAUAACAUAAUCUGUAGCAAGGGUUUCAAAAUUCUAUAUCAAUUCAGCUUAAUUUCCUGGCUGAUCCACUGCUUUAUACUUUUUAUCGAGGUCAAUGAUAUAUUUUGUACUGUCAUUGGACACUGUCUGUUUCGUUCUUUUUUUCAGCUAGGACUGGGAGGUGAUGGUUUAUGCAAUAAAUGCUUUCCUCCACAAGUUCCUUCCCUCCUGUACCACUGUCCCACAUGGGGAUGGUUUUGUUUAAUUAGGACCCUGAUUGUAAUUAAGAAGUUAAAAAAUGAUAGAGCUGCACAAAGAAGUGAUGAUAAUGUGUGAUACAUCAUAAAAUAAGCGGGUCUCUAAUAGAGUGACACGUGUAUACUUUGUGUAAGAAGUCAGAAAAGUACUCGGUAUGAGAAAUGGAGGAUGUAAAAGCACUCGAACUUCUGCUAAAGAAGUUGGUUACCCUGAAGAGCCUCAGAGAUGGUUGUAUUGUGGUCGUAAGUAGCGAAAAAUGUCGGAUUAGGGAUCUACUUGAACUUCAAAAUUAAUCAUGCUGCACAAGCACUUUAAAUCACCAAAUCUAUAAAGAUCGAUAAAGAACACAAAACAGUAAAAUCGGAAACAAAGCGGAGCCUAACUUCUAAGCCUUUGACACUCUAAUCGGCUAGAAGGGGAAUUGUAUAUAUUAAAAAGUCGUUACAUACGCCUAUCUCACACAAUCAGGUCGGAUAGGCAAACACAUUGGCCUGACUGACUAAUUAGUCACCCUCAACUCAAGUAUGUUAGUAUUGUGGAGAACACUUGAUUCGACCUUGAGACGAAUAUAUCAUUGAUCUAGACAGGCCACUUGCAGGACUUUACACGUGUCCGGAAAACAUUGGCUCCCUAGUUCUAUAAAUAAGGAUCAUCUUCCAAUGGGAAGAUCAAAUUUUACCUAGCCCUUAUUAUGUCCCAAUAAAAUCCCCCUAAAGAGAUCACUCUAAAACCAAGUGAUAGUAAAGCAGGCACUCUAACCCAAAAUUUGCUUAUUCAUUCACGUUAGCCAAAUCUAAAAGACACGUGUCAUCAUCACACAUACCUACCCUUUCUUGAGUUAUCAAUUUGUUUUGAAGGAACUGGUGGCAUAUGAUUAUUUGGGUUAUAUAGUUUAAUGAGAUGCAGAUUAUUUGUGGAGACACUACACCAAGGAAGUGCCAUGAAAGAAAUGUUUGCAAUAAAAUAGCAGAAUAUUGCUGUUUGGAGUCAUAUGCAUUUAAUUGGUGCUGAAUUGAGUUAUGGUGAAGAGGAAUUUGGUUCUGGAUCAAUGGAUGAAAGAAAUGUUUCCUGGGAACAAAAUCGUCAUCAUCUCUUGUAAAUUUUUACUAGAGAUUUUUUAUUAUGGCAUUUUCCUCAUUUUCUUAGGCAAUAUUAUUGAUUCCUCAUGCAUAUGGUGUCAAAUCUACUUUCUUAUCGGUGUUUAUUCAUGAAGCAGCUAUUGGCAUUAUAUUUAGAGUUUAUCUAUUUAAAGUAGAAUGCUGGUGAGAACUAGCAACUUACUGAAUCUUCACAUGGAGCACUCAUUCCCUAUUACCCUGUUGGGAUGGAAAAACCUGUCUAUGAACAUUGAUUUAUAUUAUUGGUGCUAUUGUUUUGUACUUUUAAGUGAUCAGGUGGAGUUCUACUCGUACAUCUUUUUGCCUUUUUUUUUUAUAUUUUU